AGGAACUUGGGAUCCGUCUCCUCUUUCGCCUCCUCCGCUUUGGGAGCCCCGGGCUACUCUUUCACAGCCCCUGUUGCCCUGUGAUCUGUAGGUCCUUGGGGACGCACAGUUAAGAUGACAGGACAUCCUGGAAGCUGGGAAAUGGUAACUUCUUAGACCAAGUCUAGAAACAGUCUGAGGACAAUAACAAUUCCAUUCUAAAAAGAAUCUCCCAACAUUUCUUCUAUCUCAACCUCAACUGCAUCUGCCUGUGAACUUCCAGCUUACCAAGGCUCUAUAUCUUCUGGCAGUGACAAAGGCUCCUUCCAUGGUUGGUGCAUCAUAGCUGGGAAACGGAUUCACAAGACCCAGGCUGUUCCCUACAUAUGUUUCCUCCUCCGACAUCAGUUCAUCAGUCAAUCAAGCCAUGUGAGAGUGGAGGCCUUGUAUUCCCUAUUAUUCUUGGGCACUCUACUCCAAGUAGGAAAAGGCCAGGAGGUCCUGUUAAAGGAUGCACUCAGAGCCCGGGCUCCCUAACAUAUGAGAGUGCUAACCAGCAGGUGUAGACUUUUCAGGAGUGAAGAAUGAGGCAG
ensembl:lncRNA LINC03105 long intergenic non-protein coding RNA 3105